UCUUAUUUAGGUUAAAUUAAACCUUUAAUUUGUGGUAUUAAAAAUAUAAUAUUUAUAAUAAGAA
rnacentral:tRNA from 1 species